AAAGACAGGACUUGAACCUAUGCCUGAGAGAUCAAAACCCUCCGUACUCCCUCUGUACCACUUCCUA
rnacentral:tRNA from 1 species